rnacentral:rRNA from 1 species
GGGGAAUUUUGGACAAUGGGGGCAACCCUGAUCCAGCCAUGCCGCGUGAGUGAAGAAGGCCUUCGGGUUGUAAAGCUCUUUCGGCCGGGAAGAAAUCGCAUGGGUGAAUACCCUGUGUGGAUGACGGUACCGGAACAAGAAGCACCGGCUAACUACGUGCCAGCAGCCGCGGUAAUACGUAGGGUGCGAGCGUUAAUCGGAAUUACUGGGCGUAAAGCGUGCGCAGGCGGUUUGGUAAGACAGGCGUGAAAUCCCCGGGCUUAAGCUGGGAACUGCGCUUGUGACUGCCAGGCUAGAGUACGGCAGAGGGGGGUGGAAUUCCACGUGUAGCAGUGAAAUGCGUAGAGAUCUGGAGGAAUACCGGUGGCGAAGGCGGCCCCCUGGACGAAGACUGACGCUCAGGUGCGAAAGCGUGGGGAGCAAAC